rfam:Triticum aestivum genome assembly, contig: Triticum_aestivum_CS42_TGACv1_scaffold_514816_6BS
CUGUAUGAUCCUGCUAGUAGUCAUAUGCUUAUCUCAAAGAUUAAGCCAUGCAUGUGCAAGUAUGAACCAAUUUGAACUAUGAAACUGUGAAUGGCCCAUUAAAUCAGUUAUAGUUUGUUUGAUGGUACGUGCUACUAGGAUAACUGUAGUAAUUCUAGAGCUAAUACAUGUAACAAACCCCGACUUCUGGGAGGGGGCACAUUUAUUAGAUAAAAGGCUGACGCGGGCUCUGCUCGCUGAUCCGAUGAUUCAUGAUAACUCGACGGAUCGCACUGCCUUCAUGCCAGCGACACAUCAUUCAAAUUUCUGCCCUGUCAACUUUGGAUGGUAGGAUAGGUGCCUACCAUUGUGGUCACGGGUGACGGAGAAUUAGGGUUCGAUGCCAGAGAGGGAGCUUGAGAAACGGCUACCACAUUCAAGGAAGGAAGCAUGCGUGUAAAUUACCCAACACUGACAUGGGGAGGUAGUGACAAUAAAUAACAAUACCGGGCGCAUUAGUGUGUGGUAAUUGGAAUGAGUACAAUCUAAAUCCCUUAACAAGGAUCCAUUGGAGGGCAAGUCUGGUGCCAGCAGUCGUGGUAAUUCUAGCUCCAAUAGCGUAUAUUUAAGUUGUUGUAGUUCAAAAUCUCAUAGUUGGACCUUCGGGCCGGUCGGCCGGUCCGCCUCACAGCGAGCACCGAAAUACUCGACCCUAGCCUUAAUUGGUCGGGUUGUGUUUUCGGCAUCGUUACUUUGAAGAAAUUAGAGUGCUCAAUGCAAGCCAUCGCUCUAGAUACAUUAGCAUGGGUGUCACGCCCAAGAUGCGACCCUAUCCUAAAGGAACUCGAAGGUCCCACUAAGGAUAGAAGCACAUCUU